UACGGAGGGUGCGAGCGUUGUCCGGAAUCAUUGGGCGUAAAGGGCGCGUAGGUGGCCCGGUCAGUUCGUGGUGAAAGCGCGGGGCUCAACCCUGGAAUUGCCUUUGAUACUGGCGAUCUUGAGUACGGGAGAGGUGUGUGGAACUCCGAGUGUAGAGGUGAAAUUCGUAGAUAUUCGGAAGAACACCAGUGGCGAAGGCGACACACUGGCCCGUUACUGACGCUGAGGCGCGAAAGCGUGGGGAGCAAACAGG
rnacentral:rRNA from 1 species